GAUGAACGCUAGCUACAGGCUUAACACAUGCAAGUCGAGGGGUAACGAGAGGAAAGCUUGCUUUCCUUGUCGACGACCGGCGCACGGGUGGGUAACGCGUAUCCAACCUGCCCCCAACUAGGGAAUAACCUUGCGAAAGUAAGACUAAUACCCUAUAAUUUCCUCAGAUGUCAUCUGACGAGGAAUAAAGAUUUAUCGGUUGUGGAUGGGGAUGCGUCUGAUUAGCUUGUUGGCGGGGUAACGGCCCACCAAGGCAACGAUCAGUAGGGGUUCUGAGAGGAAGGUCCCCCACAUUGGAACGGAGACACGGUCCAAACUCCUACGGGAGGCAGCAGUGAGGAAUAUUGGUCAAUGGGCGGAAGCCUGAACCAGCCAAGUAGCGUGCAGGAUGACGGCCCUAUGGGUUGUAAACUGCUUUUAUACAGGAAUAAAGUUAGCCACGUGUGGUUAUUUGUAGGUACUGUAUGAAUAGGGACCGGCUAAUUCCGUGCCAGCAGCCGCCGUAA
rnacentral:rRNA from 1 species